rnacentral:rRNA from 1 species
GUUUCAGCAGCCGCGGUAAUACGUAGGGUGCGAGCGUUAUCCGGAAUUAUUGGGCGUAAAGAGCUCGUAGGCGGUUUGUCGCGUCUGUCGUGAAAGCCCGGGGCUUAACCCCGGAUCUGCGGUGGGUACGGGCAGACUAGAGUGCAGUAGGGGAGACUGGAAUUCCUGGUGUAGCGGUGGAAUGCGCAGAUAUCAGGAGGAACACCGAUGGCGAAGGCAGGUCUCUGGGCUGUAACUGACGCUGAGGAGCGAAAGCAUGGGGAGCGAACAGGAUUAGAUACCCUGGUAGUCCAUGCCGUAAACGUUGGGCACUAGGUGUGGGGACCAUUCCACGGUUUCCGCGCCGCAGCUAACGCAUUAAGUGCCCCGCCUGGGGAGUACGGCCGCAAGGCUAAAACUCAAAGGAAUUGACGGGGGCCCGCACAAGCGGCGGAGCAUGCGGAUUAAUUCGAUGCAACGCGAAGAACCUUACCAAGGCUUGACAUGUUCUCGAUCGCCGUAGAGAUACGGUUUCCCCUUUGGGGCGGGUUCACAGGUGGUGCAUGGUUGUCGUCAGCUCGUGUCGUGAGAUGUUGGGUUAAGUCCCGCAACGAGCGCAACCCUCGUUCCAUGUUGCCAGCACGUCGUGGUGGGGACUCAUGGGAGACUGCCGGGGUCAACUCGGAGGAAGGUGAGGACGACGUCAAAUCAUCAUGCCCCUUAUGUCUUGGGCUUCACGCAUGCUACAAUGGCCGGUACAAUGGGUUGCGAUACUGUGAGGUGGAGCUAAUCCCAAAAAGCCGGUCUCAGUUCGGAUUGGGGUCUGCAACUCGACCCCAUGAAGUCGGAGUCGCUAGUAAUCGCAGAUCAGCAACGCUGCGGUGAAUACGUUCCCGGGCCUUGUACACACCGCCCGUCAAACA